GAGGGUAUAGCUCAGUGGUAGAAUGCAUGCUUAGCAUGCAGGAAGUCCUAGGUUCAAUCCCCAGUACCAUCA
rnacentral:tRNA from 1 species